rnacentral:lncRNA from 1 species
UUGCAAAUAAAAUACACAAACAAAGAAAUUUGAUUGAUAGACAAAUCAAUGAUGAUUACAAAAGACUAAAACAAAUCAAAGACUACUACACAUUAAAAUUCUAAGAUAACUCUAUUGAGUCUUUAUUUAUAUAGAUUGUUCCAAACCAAUAGCUUAUAACUACAAUGCAACAACAAAAUACAAUAAACAUGACUACAUUCUUCCUAGUCCUUCCAUUAACCAUGUAACUUUUCUGUUUCUUAUCUCUAUGUUUCAUCUUCCCAAUCUCUACUUUCAACUUCUUGAAUUUCAUAUUUACACAAUCAUAAUCUUGUUUGGACAUUCUUGACUUGUCGACUUCUUCAGAAGUUUUUAUCUUCACAACUUCAUUGACUGAUGGUUGCAUGGUUUGAUGACAAGAUUCCACUAUAUUCUCAAAAUCACCUAAUUUUUCUAUUAUUUAGGAAUUACAAAUUUGAACCUCAGAUAAAUAUUUUCUUUGUUCCUCCAACACCAAAAGUCAUAAGAUUUUGGAUCUUUCAAUAGUUUAAAUUGAGAAUUAGUGUUCAAUCAAAUAUGUUGGAUUUAAAAAAGAAAAAAAUGAUAUUUACCUCAUAAUAAGGGCAUGCUCAAUAUCUUCUGGCAUGAUUAGUUAAAGUUCAAGAUAUCUUCAAUGAAUAACAAAAUCAUGAUUGCAACAAACUUCUUGGUUCAAAGCAAAAUUAUUCUCUUUUAUUCAAAGCUUAGACAAAUUAACUGAUCUCAUGGUGUGCCACAAAAUAAUUUAUUCCAACAAAUUUCAUAAAUUUCAAAAUGGACUGCUAAAAUAAAAAAAAUGACAAGAAAAUUUAAAUAUACAAUAGAUGAAGGAAUUUACCUUUUUCAUAGAAAUAAGAGAUGAAGGAGAAAUAAGAAAGGAAACAAUAGAUGAAUAGAAAAAGAGAAUAUUAACAAAAUAAUGAAAUAAAAAUUUUGAUUUUUUAAGCAAUUCCAAAUCAAAAUCAGAUUCUGGAUUGAUUGAAGAUGAAGAAGAAUAGAAGAAGUUAGGAUUUUUG